rnacentral:lncRNA from 1 species
AUAAAAUGAAGGUUUGCAUUGUGUAGUUAAUAAGCCCUGCUUCCUAAGCAUUUCUUAGAUAACUGUGCUAGUUAAUUUCUGUCAUUAAAGACCUUGGGUUGCCCAAGAGUUGUGCGGGUACCCAGGCAGCUAUUCUAUCUAGUUAAAGCUCUAGUGAGCUGUUUGUAAUCAAUGCAAUAUCUGUCUUUCUCUAUAUAUAUGAAGGAGACGCCUGGGGUUAGUUGCCUCAAGGCUACUCAAAAGUCUGUGUUUCCUCCAUCAUUUGGUACCAGAGCUAGGUUAGACACCAGAGAGCCACGAGGCCAACUCCUCACCUCCUCCACCCAUGUCGACCUCUGCUGAGCGCGUUGCCAGGCUCAAGGCCGCGCGCUUGAAGGCUGCAGAGGAAGCAGCAGCGCUGGCAGUCCAGGCAGCACAGCAGGCGGCGGCUGCUGCAGAGGCGGCAGCAAGGACGGCGCAGGAGCUGCGGGCCGAAAUUGCUGCUGAGAAGGGAGAAGAAGAGGAGGAAGAGGAGGAAGAGGAAGAGGAGGACUUGAGGAGCCAGAGGACUCCAUCGCGGGACAGGCGCCGUUCGCAGUCACCACUGCGUAACAGAAGGCGUCGUGGCGGCGGCCGCUAUGAAUCACCGCAAGGCAGGGUGGUUUACCGCGACUCCGGCAGCGGCACCUCAUGGCCAAUGCUGGACAAGACAAAUUACUAUGAGUGGAGCCAGACGAUGAAGCUCAGGAUGCAGGCGCGCGAUCUCUGGGAAGCUGUCGAAGGAGGCCCAGUGCAGUAUCGCGACGACAGGCGAGCCUUGGAGGUAAUUGUCGCGUUUGUGCCCAAGGAGUUGGGGCUCCCGCUCCUUGACAAGGCGACAGCAAAGGAGGCAUGGGAUGCCAUCGCUGCGACUCGAAUCGGUGUGGACAGGGUCCGCCGAGCGACGUUGCAGCGGCUGCGUCGGGAGUGGGAGAACAUGGAUGUCAAGCCUGGCGAGCCGGUGGAGGAUUUUGCCCUGCGGCUGUCAACUCUGCACCAGCAGCUUGUUCUUCAUGGUGACAGGGACAUCGACGAGAAGCGUGUUGUGGAGAAGUUUCUACGCACGGUGCCUGCCAAAUACGCGCAGAUUGUCGUCGCCAUCGAGCAGUUCCUCGAUUUUGAGGCGCUCUCGCUUGAGGAGGUGACAGGAAGGCUCAAGGCGGUGGAUGAACGUGAAGCGCAAGCUGUGACAGAGCCGGUGUCCAUCAACGGCAAGCUGCUGUACACCGAGGAGCAGUGGCGUGCGCGUUUGAAGAAGGAGAAGCAAGGCGCAGAAGAAGCUGGCGGUUCUGGUUUCAAGAACCAGCAUGGCGGUGGCGGCAGACGCGGCCGUGGUGGCGGACGCGGACGAGGCAGAGGUGCUGGCCGUGGUGGCGGACGUGGUGAAGGCAAAGGCGCUGGCCGUGUUGGCCCCAACACCUGCCUCAACUGCAACCAGGAAGGCCACUGGGCACGUGAGUGUCUCCAGCCGCGCCGUGAAGAUGCAGAGCGCGGCGGUGGAGGGGGAAACCGUGCUGGCCGCGGUGGUGGCAACCGUGGUGGAGGUCGUGGCGGCGGAAAUCAGGCUGGGCAGUGUGGUGGGAACCAAGGAAGGCAUGAGGCGCGCGCCCAGUACGCUGAGUGCGAUGAAGAUGGUGCUCUGUUUCUGGCACAUGGCUUCAUCAGCCUGGAACAGAGCACGCUGGUGCACAGCUACACGGCGCAGCACGUCGAGCUCUCUGAGCCACGCGCUCGUGCCUACCUCGGCGUGGACGAAGAAGAGGUAGACAGCGGCUGGUACCUGGACUCCGGCGCGACGCAUCACAUGACCGGGCGCCAAGAGCUCUUUGCUGAUCUGAACACUGGCGUUCGAGGAACGGUCCGGUUCGGGGAUGCGUCGAAGGUUGAGAUCAAGGGCGUCGGGUCUAUUGUUUUCCAAGCCAAGACCGGUGAGCAGAGGGUUCUUCAUGGCGUCUAUUUCAUUCCGGCGCUGAAGAACUCUAUCAUAAGUCUGGGACAGCUUGAUGAAGGAGGGUCCAAGGUUGAGAUUGAUGAUGGCGUGCUUCGCAUUUGGGACAAGAGUCGCCGUCUGCUCGCCAAGGUACGCAGAGGGAAGAAUAGGUUGUAUAUUCUGCAUCUUGAGGCUGCACAACCUGUCUGUCUCGCGGCACGCAAGGAUGAAGAGGCGUGGCAGUGGCAUGAGCGUUUCGGCCAUCUGCACUUCGAUGCCCUCCGGCGACUCAGCAAGGAGGAGAUGGCGCGCGGGAUGCCGGUGGUUGACCAUGUUGAGCAGGUGUGUGACACCUGCGUUACCACCAAGCAAAGACGGCGUUCCUUUCCGGCUGCAGCAGCAUACCAUGCCCAGAAUCAGCUUGAGCUGGUGCACGGUGACUUGUGCGGUCCGGUUACGCCAGCGACACCGGCGGGCAACCGCUAUAUCUUGCUGCUUGUCGAUGACGCCACUCGCUUUAUGUGGGCUGUGCUGCUGCCAUCCAAGGACGCAGCAGCAGAAGCAAUCAAGAAGGUUAAGGUGGCAGCAGAGGUGGAAAGCGGGCGCAAGUUGAAGGUCCUGCGCACCGACAAUGGCGGCGAAUUCACCGUCGCAGAGUUUACUGCAUACUGUGCUGAGGAAGGUAUUAAACGGCAUUUCAGUGCCCCUUAUUCACCGCAACAGAACGGUGUUGUUGAGCGCAGGAACCAAACAGUGGUGGCCAUGGCACGAGCUCUGCUCAAGCAACGCCAGAUGCCCUCUCGGUUUUGGGGGGAGGCUGUGAUGACGGCUGUACACAUCCUGAAUCGAUCCCCGACGAAGGCGCUGAAGAAUGUCACUCCUUAUGAAGCGUGGCAUGGUCGGGCACCAACAGUCGGCCACCUCAAGGUCUUUGGCUGUGUGGCUUAUACCCGGCGGCUUACUCAGCUUCGCAAGCUCGAUGACCGCAGAGAGGCUGGCGUGUUUAUCGGCUAUGCGGAAGGGGCCAAGGCAUACCGUAUCUAUGAUCCAGUGUCCCAGCGCGUGCGUGUCAGCCGUGAUGUGGUGUUUGACGAAGGCCGCGGCUGGGACUGGGCAUCACCAGCAGCAGGCACACCAGAAGCAGCGGGCAGCGAGUUUUCUGUUGAAUUCCCAUGGGCGGAGGAACUCCCUGAAGCAGGAAGUUCAGCGUCACCUUUACUAUCUCCUCCGCCACAUCCUGCAUCGCCUGGUUUCUCUCCGGUGGAUGCAGGAGAGCCUGCAGCAGAAGCAGAGGAGCCCGCAGCGGAGGCAGAGGUGCCUGCGUCACCCAGAACACCUACACCAGCUCCAGCAAGUCCUCAGGUUGAGCAUGUGACCCCCCUGGAAGAUGAUGAUGAAAGGGUGGAUGCCUACCAUGACGAUGAAGAACUCCGCUAUCGGAAGAUUCAUGACAUUAUUGGUGAUCAGCCAACCCCUCCGCCAGCGCAGCGGCUGUUUGCAGAACUGAAUCUCACCCAUUCUGGUGAGCCUACAAGCUAUGAAGAAGCCAAAGAUGAUCCAGAUUGGCAAGCAGCGAUGAAGGAGGAGCUGAGAUCAGUAGAGCGGAAUGGGACUUGGGAACUUGUUUCUCCCCGUCCUGGUCACCGUCCCAUUUCACUAAAAUGGGUGUUUAAGCUGAAGAAGGAUGAACAUGGAGCUGUAAUUAGGCACAAGGCAAGACUUGUGGCCCGUGGUUUUGUGCAGCAGGAAGGAGUUGACUAUGAAGAUGCUUUUGCACCGGUUGCAAGGAUGGAAUCAGUGCGUGUUUUGCUUGCCUUAGCAGCACAAGAGGGAUGGGCAGUACAUCACAUGGAUGUGAAGUCUGCAUUUUUGAAUGGAGAACUCCAGGAGGAGGUUUAUGUUACACAACCUCCAGGUUUUGCUGUAACAGGAGAAGAGAAGAAAGUGUACAGGCUGCACAAGGCCCUGUAUGGCCUGAGACAGGCUCCUCGGGCAUGGAAUGCCAAGCUUGACUUGACUCUCAAGCAGAUGGGUUUUGAGCAGAAUAUGUAUGAAGCUGCUAUGUACAGGAAGGGAUCAGGUGAGUCCCUACUGGUAAUUGGAGUCUAUGUUGAUGAUUUGAUCAUCACAGGAGUCAAUCAGCAGAAGAUUGAAGCCUUCAAGGCAAAGAUGAAGCAAACUUUUGAAAUGAGUGAUUUGGGUCUUCUGUCCUUCUAUCUGGGAGUUGAGGUAAGACAAUCAGAGGGGAGCAUCACUCUGAAGCAAACCCAUUAUGCUAAGAAGAUACUUGAGAUUGGUGGUAUGGCAGGUUGUAAUCCAGCCACCACACCCAUGGAAGAAAGGCUGAAGUUAAGCAAGGAAAGCACAGCAAAAGAAGUAAACCCAACUCAGUACAGAAGACUGGUUGGCAGCUUGAGAUACCUAGUGCACACAAGACCAGAUUUGGCCUUUGCAGUAGGGUAUGUUAGCAGAUUUCUGGAGAAGCCAACAACUGAACAUCUUCAGGCUGUGAAGAGGAUCUUAAGAUACCUGGCUGGUACUCUAGAUCAUGGGCUCUGCUACACUAGAUCAACAGGCAAAGCAAGGUUUGUGGGUUACAGUGAUUCAGAUUUGGCUGGAGAUGUUGAUUCAAGCAAAAGCACGACUGGAUGUUUGUUCUUCCUUGGAACCAGCCUGGUCAGCUGGCAGUCUGUCAAACAGAGAGUUGUUGCUCUGUCUAGCUGUGAGGCUGAAUAUGUGGCGAUGACAACAGCUGCAACCCAAGCUUUGUGGUUGUCAAGACUGUUUGCAGAUUUGUUGGGAAGAAAAGUUGAAGUGGUGGAACUCAGAGUAGACAAUAAGUCUGCUCUGGCUUUGGCAAAGAAUCCUGUUUUCCAUGACAGGAGCAAGCAUAUUAGAAUCAAGCAUCAUUUCAUCAGAGAUUGUGUGGAAGAUGGUAGCAUCAAGACAGAGUUCAUUCCCACUGCAGAUCAGCUCGCUGAUAUACUGACUAAAGCUUUGGGCAAAACCAAGCUGGAAGAGAUGAGGAGCAGGAUUGGGAUCAAGGAGAUCAAGAUUAAUUGAAGCAGGCCUUAGGGGGAGAAAUGUAGUUAAUAAGCCCUGCUUCCUAAGCAUUUCUUAGAUAACUGUGCUAGUUAAUUUCUGUCAUUAAAGACCUUGGGUUGCCCAAGAGUUGUGCGGGUACCCAGGCAGCUAUUCUAUCUAGUUAAAGCUCUAGUGAGCUGUUUGUAAUCAAUGCAAUAUCUGUCUUUCUCUAUAUAUAUGAAGGAGACGCCUGGGGUUAGUUGCCUCAAGGCUACUCAAAAGUCUGUGUUUCCUCCAUCACAUUGUUUCAUGCAUCUGAAAGGUAGAUUAGGCGUCUACCUCUCUGAGCAAGAGAUGCAUUGAAAAUUUGAUGCAAAAUUUACCAAAUCUGUGCAAGGUUGAAAUGCUAGAAUCAUUAGAGACCUUCUUUUACUUCAUCACAAUGCUAAGCUGUAAACUAGCGAAGUGCAAAAAUAUAACUUCUCAAGUGAAGAUCUUGAAAGAAACAAUGCUACUUGAUUAUAUAAUACAAUAUUCAGAAAUGCAGCAUCCCCAAUUUUUUAGGUUUAAUUGAAUAAUUCAUCAUUCUAAAUCCAGCUUGGUUUGAGAAUGGAUCUGACCCAUUACAGACGAAAAGGAUAAUAAGAUCAAUCAAUAAAAACAAUUGGAUAUUCUCAUAAUGGACAAACCCAUCCUAAAGGACAGUCCUCAAACAAAAUAGGCUGUAAUGACCUUAUA